CAGUUCGGAUUGUAGGCUGAAACUCGCCUACAUGAAGCUGGAGUUGCUAGUAAUCGCGAAUCAGCAUGUCGCGGUGAAUACGUUCCCGGGCCUUGUACACACCGCCCGUCACACCAUGAGAGUUGGCAAUACCCAACGUACGUGAUCUAACCCGCAAGGGAGGAAGCGUCCUAAGGUAGGGUCAGCGAUUGGGGUGAAGUCGUAACAAGGUACC
rnacentral:rRNA from 1 species